rnacentral:rRNA from 1 species
CAGUCGCCGCGGUAAUACGGAGGGUGCAAGCGUUAAUCGGAAUUACUGGGCGUAAAGCGCACGCAGGCGGUUCGUUAAGUCUGCUGUGAAAUCCCCGGGCUCAACCUGGGAAUGGCAGUGGAUACUGGCUCGCUAGAGUGUGUCAGAGGAUGGUGGAAUUCCCGGUGUAGCGGUGAAAUGCGUAGAGAUCGGGAGGAACAUCAGUGGCGAAGGCGGCCAUCUGGGACAACACUGACGCUGAGGCACGAAAGCGUGGGGAGCAAACAGGAUUAGAUACCCCUGUAGUCCCUGUCUCUUAUAC